rnacentral:lncRNA from 1 species
CUGACCUUCAAAAAGUAUUUGUUAGCUCCCACUAGAAAUAUCAGCCCCACAUCUCCACCCCUAAGCCUCAGUUGAGACACCAUGGAAGAAUUCUUUCCUAGCUUUCAAGGGCAGUUGGCAAACCUGAUAAAAGCUGAAACUAGCUUUUCCCCUUACCUUCACCUCUCUAUAUCUUUGCUGAUAGAGCAGUACUAUACACACAGUCCGUGAGUUCCUGGAAUUGUAUAAAAGAAUUCAUGAGCAUUGUCCUGAAAAUGGCAAAAGAAGAUUAACAAUCUGUUCUUCUGAUCCAUGGAUACCAAGAAGAAUUUCUCUACACUUCCAGCCCUUCAGCUCAAGCUGGAAAGUUUCUUAGUUGCUAUCCGAAUUAUGACUUCCAUUGCAAAACUUGGGUGCAGUGAAAGAGGGCAGCUGUCACAAUCCAAACAGGAUUUCAAGGUUGUUUACAAUCUCCUGUCCUCAACAUCUAACCCAAGCAUGAAUUUCUACUUCUUCAGCACCUUUCCUAUGUAUUUUCCUGGCAAUCUGACACCGCCUUUAGUCCUUCGCACUGUGUAAUUCCAGAGUCCUUAAUCAAGGUUUAAAUUUGUUGUAAAUUAAUUCCUUGAGGCCUUGGUACAUUCAAGCCCACUUCCAUGCUAUUUCUCAAGUUGUGUUCCUUUCCAAACAAGUAAAAUGGCUGCAAAUAAAAGGUCAAAAAAGGAAAUGUUUUAGAUUGUU